rnacentral:rRNA from 1 species
GGUCCCAGUUCAGAUUGCAGGCUGCAACCCGCCUGCAUGAAGUCGGAAUUGCUAGUAAUCGCGGAUCAGCAUGCCGCGGUGAAUACGUUCCCGGGCCUUGUACACACCGCCCGUCACACCAUGGGAGCCGGUAAUACCCGAAGUCAGUAGUCCAACCACGUGAGGACGCUGCCGAAGGUAGGAUUGGCGACUGGGGUGAAGUCGUAACAAGGUAUC